AAAGAGCAACAACUUUAAGAUUGGUGUUAGGACCUGAAUGCUAGGUUUUGCCAUGAUUGCAGUUUUUCAGGAUAAAGAGCUGACCAAACAAGAACAAUAUUCAGUUAUUUGCUCAAGAUGGUAGUAUAAAUAACGAACUUUAGGUCAGUCUAGUUUUACCUUGGUCCUCAUUUGUUUCCAAGAACGAACCUUUUUCAUCUAUCGAUUGCAUUUAUGGCCUAACUCGUUCUAUCACUUUCUUCAACUGCAAAAUAAUUUGAAGUGUUACAAGCACGCAUGCAAUACAAUGAACUCAUUGUGCAUUUUGGUAAGGAAAGAGACCACUAAAUGCUUACUUUGCUCUUAUCAUGAGUGAAAACGGCAUCAACUAGAGGGUUUCGAGGUCAGGGGUAUGUUUGACUCCCAUUUUCAAUGCCACCGUCCACAGAUCGCAAUGUGAUUUCAUCCUCUGAAGGUGGCAAGAUAAGCUGAGGCUGCUCAUUAUCUCUCAUUGACAGAAGUUCAACUGUCUCAUGCAUCAUGGUGUUGGAUUGCAAGCUAGAAGAGAUAUAAUCAACCUCGUCUUCAUUUGAUUUGAUUUCUGCACUAACUUGAUGCGGAGAUUGGUUCAGUUCUUCAAGGGAAGAACUAACAUCAUCAAUCGAGGUGAAUCUGAAGAAAUCCCCUAUGAGCUAGAUUCCAAAGUAAGCCGCAUUAUUUUUCCUUUUCCAGUAAGGAAACCGUUUCGUGUCAUUUCAUUAUCAACAGAAGGUGAAUCCUUCUCAAUUACAGCAGAGAGUGGUAAAUUUGGGUUCAAUGAUUGAGCCUUCUCGGCAACUCCCAUUGGCAAUAGAGAAGACAAGGAACCAAUAGUAUGUUGCUCUAACUCUUUCUCUGUAGCACGAUAAAUAUUAUUAGGCAUCCCAAUCCUCCAUUGAAGUGGAAGGAGGGUUAGUAAGGGAGGCAAUUCUUCUUGAUUUAUCUGUUAGUCUCUGAAUAAGGGUUAAUCAGAGGAAAUAUGGAAAUUGAUAGAUUCUUGGGAUGUCCAAAGAUAUCAUUCUCAUAGUUGCCUGCGGGGGGAGAUCUGAAAUCGUGAAAGCAGAAUUGUUGCAUCCUUGAUGAUCACCGUGAUCAAACUUUUGCAUACUUUUCAAAGUAGGUAACAAUUCUAAAUCUGUUUUCACCUGCCCCGAGGAACUACGGAUCUAGUUUGUUAGGUAAUGACUCGAUCUUUUCUUGUAAAAUUGUUUUUUCUAUUUAUUAAUUGAUAGGCAAAUAGGAAGUAUCUUCAAUACGACUUGGAAGACUACUUGUCGCCUCAGAUUCAUGUUCUAUGUAUAAGCCUCUUUUCUCCAAAGAUAUCUUAAUUACAGUAGUAUUAACAAGAUGCAAACUGUUUUCAACUUCCAAUGCAAUAUAUGAAUUAGGAACAAAUAUCUACUGGAUCCAAAUGUCAUGGAGCAACUUCUAUUUCAUCAUCAUCAACAGCAGAGCCAGUAGCAACUUAGCCACAUCCAUAGCAUCCUAUUGAUCUAUUGCAAAAUCUAUCUCAACGAACCGUACAUGAACGUCAUCUGGCGAUGUAAUAUCAGUUUCUUUGUUUUCCAGUUGAAUCCAUGCAAUAGGUGAUUCCAUCCAUUUCUACACACCAUCGGAUAUUACUGUGGGCUUUUCAACAUUAUCCUGAAUACAACAUGAAUUUUUCACAUACGUUGAAUCAAGAGAGGAAUAAUCGUUUGAUAUUCCAGUACCCUAGAACCCCCUAAUGUCAGAUGAUUUGGGGUUUCCAACCAUAGAAAUUCCAUUUGAUGCCAUCUCUUCAGCAAAAAUAACACCUUCAUCCGUAUUCUGAGAGUCAAGACCUGCCUAGUGAUGAUCAAGAAAGUGUUUUUUUAUAUUUGAUGAAAUCAAAUUUGGUGAGUCAAACUAAUGGUCAACUGAGCUUUUGGAGUAAUAAUCUUCUGCACCAACAGCUUGCAACAUACUGUCCAAUGACGUUUCCUCAAUUUCCUCUACAGGAGAUAGAUCUAUGAUGCAUGAAAAAUUAUUGAAAGCAUUAUAAACCAUAUUUGGAUCCCCAUUACCCAACUUACAAUGUGGCUAUUUUUGUUCAGACAAAAUAGGUAUUGAACUGUCUUUCUUUUGAGGACUAUCAAGAUGAUCAGACAUACAGUGCUCAGCCAUAUUUGGAACCACAAAAUCUAGUUCAUUUGGAAUUGGAAUGUCAGCAAACAUCAUUCGUGGAUUAUUUACUUUGCUAUGAUAAAUGAUAUUGCUGAUAUUAAACAUGGAAUCUAUGUCGGUCGGUAGAUUCUCAUCCUCCUUAUCUGAAACAUCCUUGAGCAGGAAUUCAGACAUUUCAAUGGAAAUCUCUUGUACGACUUGGAACAUCAGAGACUGUAGAUAUACGUGAUACAUUCUCACCCAUACUUACAUUCCUAUCAUUUGACUCAUCCACUAGAGAAUUUCCAGCAAAUGAACUAGAGAAAUCAUCUCACAUUGACAAAGUAACAUCGUAGACACUGGGAGAAAAGGGCAGAUUGUUGACCAGCUUUACCAAAUUUUCUUCAGUAACUAUAGAUUUACUAGCGCUUUAAUUACUUGUAGAGUGAAUCCUAUCUGAAUAGAAGCCAUAAGCCUACAUUCUCCUACAGGUGCUUCUGCAUCAAAAUCUGUAGGAGAUGGAAUGGUAGGACAUGAACAAGAACUUAGCUCCCCAAAAUCUGGCCUUUGACCCGUGAUUUCAGGUUCAUCAGAAACAGCUGGUUUUAAAUGUUGGGGCACUGAAUCAUUUUCUUUGCAAGUUUUUGGUAAGAAGGUGUACUAUUCAACACAAUUUCAGUGAUUCAGCUAGUGAAAAAUCUUCAACAGAAUCAAUAUGAUCUUCUAACAGUAUGCUUUCAGCAAAAGUUCUUGGAAAAGCAGAGGAAAAAUUAGAUGUUUCUUUUUUGUAUGCGUUAUUUCCCCCAUCUAAUAUGCUGGAGCGUCCAAUUGAUUGAGAAUCUGAAGAAUGGGUUUGAGGAUACUCACCGUCCUCAUUGGAAAUAGACAGCUGUUGCUUCAUAAUUAAGGAGGUGAAGUCAAUCUUACCUCUUUAUCUAGAGACUGCAUCCAUAUCUAGCUCGAUGGUCGAAGGAUUCAAGGGUACAAUUUCAAGCACUUCAACCCCAGAUUCAUUAUGAUCGUCCGUUGGCAAUUUCAAAAGGGAUGAGCUCACGGAGACUUCAUGAACCACUUUAUGCUCCGGGAAAGGAUUCUUCAAUAAUUUCUCCAUGUAGCUCUUCCCAUUUUUUUGAGUCAAAUGGAACUCCAUUUGGUCUCCUUUUCUGUUUCACACGGCGCGCAGGAUUGUUAAUGCUAUUUGUAACACUUUUUGAGAUACAACUGAUGGAAUCUGUAAAAGUUAAGAUACAGAACAGGACCAUCUCAUAUUGUGCACUAUAUCAAUUGAAAAGAGAAAUCUAUGGCAAAAGAAUAAUAUUAGAUA